GGGAUUUGGGAAGAGUCAAAAGGAUACGGCUAAGAUCUGCACAGACAUCGACGAGUGCAACAAGACCCCAGAUAUCUGUGGCCCCAAGGCCACGUGUAACAACACCAUUGGGAGCUACCGGUGUGAGUGCCGGGCCGGCUACGUCCCCUCCAACAAGAACACGACCCUGUGCCAAGACAUCAGCAACUGCCGCAGGAUCCCAGAUACCUGCAGCCUCAAGGCCACAUGCAUCAACACCAAUGGGAGC